CUCGUAGGCGGUUUGUCGCGUCGGGAGUGAAAACCUCGGGCUUAACUCGGGGCUUGCUUUCGAUACGGGCAGACUGGAGGUAUGCAGGGGAGAACGGAAUUCCUGGUGUAGCGGUGAAAUGCGCAGAUAUCAGGAGGAACACCGGUGGCGAAGGCGGUUCUCUGGGCAUUACCUGACGCUGAGGAGCGAAAGUGUGGGGAGCGAACAG
rnacentral:rRNA from 1 species